GUGGGUCACAUGGUGCAAGAAAUACCGUAUGAAACAACCCGACCGCGACUGAAAAUCGUGAGGUCGCCGGUUCGAUCCCGGCCCUAGCCA
rnacentral:tRNA from 1 species